UGGGAAUGGUGGGAAUGUGGGAAUGGUGGGAUUGGGAAUGGUGGGAAUGGUGGGAAUGGGAAUGGGAAUGGUGGGAAUGGUGGGAAUGGGAAUGGUGGGAAUGUGGCAAUGUGGGAAUGGGAUUGGGAAUGGUGGGAUUGGGAAUGAUGGGAUUGGGAAUGAUGGGAUUGGGAAUGAUGGGAUUGGGAUUUCAUGGUCCAGGAGCAGCCGGACCAGGGGCAGGGAGUCGUCAAUGCAGCUCUGGGAAUGGGAAUGGAAUUGGGAAUAAUGGGAAUGGGAAUGGUGGGAAUGUGGGAAUGCUGGGAUUGGGAAUGGUGGGAAUAAUAGGAUUGGGAAUAAUGGGAUAUGGAAUAAUGGGAUUUCAUGGUCCAGGAGCAGCUGGACCAGGGGCAGGGAGUCAUCGAUGCAGCUCUGGGAAUGGGGGAAUGGGAUUGGGAUUGGGAAUAACAGGAAUGAUGGGAAUGGGAUUGGGAUUGGGGGGGAUUAGGAAUGGUGGGAAUGGGAUUGGGAAUGAUAGGUUUGGGAAUGGUGGGAUUUGGAAUAAUGCGAAUGAUGGGACUGGGAU
rnacentral:lncRNA from 1 species